ACGCUGGCGGCAGGCCUAACACAUGCAAGUCGAGCGGUAGAGAGAAGCUUGCUUCUCUUGAGAGCGGCGGACGGGUGAGUAAUGCCUAGGAAUCUGCCUGGUAGUGGGGGAUAACGUUCGGAAACGGACGCUAAUACCGCAUACGUCCUACGGGAGAAAGCAGGGGACCUUCGGGCCUUGCGCUAUCAGAUGAGCCUAGGUCGGAUUAGCUAGUUGGUGGGGUAAUGGCUCACCAAGGCGACGAUCCGUAACUGGUCUGAGAGGAUGAUCAGUCACACUGGAACUGAGACACGGUCCAGACUCCUACGGGAGGCAGCAGUGGGGAAUAUUGGACAAUGGGCGAAAGCCUGAUCCAGCCAUGCCGCGUGUGUGAAGAAGGUCUUCGGAUUGUAAAGCACUUUAAGUUGGGAGGAAGGGUUGUAGAUUAAUACUCUGCAAUUUUGACGUUACCGACAGAAUAAGCACCGGCUAACUCUGUGCCAGCAGCCGCGGUAAUACAGAGGGUGCAAGCGUUAAUCGGAAUUACUGGGCGUAAAGCGCGCGUAGGUGGUUAGUUAAGUUGGAUGUGAAAUCCCCGGGCUCAACCUGGGAACUGCAUUCAAAACUGACUGACUAGAGUAUGGUAGAGGGUGGUGGAAUUUCCUGUGUAGCGGUGAAAUGCGUAGGUAUAGGAAGGAACACCAGUGGCGAAGGCGACCACCUGGACUGAUACUGACACUGAGGUGCGAAAGCGUGGGGAGCAAAC
rnacentral:rRNA from 1 species